AACGGUCAUACCAUGCUGAAUAUACCGGUUCUCGUUAGAUCACCGAAGUCAAGCAUCAUUGGGCGCGGUCAGUACUUGGGUGGGUGACCACCUGGGAACACCGCGUGCCGUU
rnacentral:rRNA from 1 species